rnacentral:rRNA from 1 species
GGAUCAUUACAGAGUUAUUCAACUCCCUAAACCAUUGCGAACCUACCCGUACCGUUGCCUCGGCGGGCCCCCGGGCGCCGCCGACGGCCCGAAAAAUUCGUUUCCAGGCCUCUCUGAGUCGUACUUUUAAUAGUCAAAACUUUCAACAACGGAUCUCUUGGCUCCAGCAUCGAUGAAGAACGCAGCGAAAUGCGAUAAGUAAUGUGAAUUGCAGAAUUCAGUGAAUCAUCGAAUCUUUGAACGCACAUUGCGCCCGCCAGUAUUCUGGCGGGCAUGCCUGUUCGAGCGUCAUUUCACCCCUCAGGCCCCGCCUGGUGUUGGGGACCCGCGGCUGCCGCGGGCCCUGAAAGUCAGUGGCGGGCCCGCCGCGGACCCGAGCGCAGUAAUUUGUCUCGCUCUGGGCGUCGAGGCGGGCGCUCGCCGUAAAUCUUAGACCACAAAAUUGACCUCGGAUCAGGUAGGAAUACCCGCUGAACUUAAGCAUAUCAAUAAGCGGAGGAAAAGAAACCAACAGGGAUUGCCUCAGUAACGGCGAGUGAAGCGGCAACAGCUCAAAUUUGAAAUCUGGCUCUCGGGCCCGAGUUGUAAUUUGCAGAGGAUGCUUUGGGCGCGGCCCCUGCCGAGUCCCCUGGAACGGGGCGCCAGAGAGGGUGAGAGCCCCGUAUGGCGGGUGGCCAAGCCUGUGUAAAGCUCCUUCGACGAGUCGAGUAGUUUGGGAAUGCUGCUCUAAAUGGGAGGUAAAUUUCUUCUAAAGCUAAAUACCGGCUGGAGACCGAUAGCGCACAAGUAGAGUGAUCGAAAGAUGAAAAGCACUUUGAAAAGAGGGUUAAAUAGCACGUGAAAUUGUUGAAAGGGAAGCGCUCAUGACCAGACUUGCGCCGGGCCGAUCAUCCAGCGUUCUCGCUGGUGCACUCGGCCCGGCUCAGGCCAGCAUCGGUUCUCGCGGGGGGACAAAGGCGGCGGGAAUGUAGCUCCCCCGGGAGUGUUAUAGCCCGCCGCGCAAUGCCCUCGCGGGGACCGAGGU